ACAGUAAUCUUUAGAAGUAU
rnacentral:piRNA from 1 species